rnacentral:rRNA from 1 species
GAUGAACGCUGGCGGCGUGCCUAAUACAUGCAAGUCGAGCGAACAGACGAGGAGCUUGCUCCUCUGACGUUAGCGGCGGACGGGUGAGUAACACGUGGAUAACCUACCUAUAAGACUGGGAUAACUUCGGGAAACCGGAGCUAAUACCGGAUAAUAUAUUGAACCGCAUGGUUCAAUAGUGAAAGACGGUUUUGCUGUCACUUAUAGAUGGUUCCGCGCCGCAUUAGCUAGUUGGUAAGGUAACGGCUUACCAAGGCAACGAUGCGUAGCCGACCUGAGAGGGUGAUCGGCCACACUGGAACUGAAACACGGUCCAGACUCCUACGGGAGGCAGCAGUAGGGAAUCUUCCGCAAUGGGCGAAAGCCUGACAGAGCAACGCCGCGUGAGUGAUGAAGGUCUUCGGAUCGUAAAACUCUGUUAUUAGGGAAGAACAAAUGUGUAAGUAACUAUACACGUCUUGACGGUACCUAAUCAGAAAGCCACGGCUAACUACGUG